CUUGUCUCCAAGAGUGACGGGCGAUUUGUGCAUGUCUAAUUGCUUUUUCAACCUUUCUUUUUGUAAAAGUUUUAGUAGCAAGUCCUUUUUCUGCUUUUGUCCUUAAAACUUCUAAUUUAUUUUUUUCUGUGUAUCCCACUCUACUCUUUUUUAUUUUUCCUGUCUUGAUUUGAUUUAUUUCUUUUUCUGUUUUCCAACCAUCUUUUUUUUUGAUUUUAACAAUGAUAUAGGGAAUAAAAAAAAAAGCCCAUUUAAUCGUGGAUUAACUAUUACGAGGCAGGAUCCCCUGCCUUGGUUAGACACCGCCAUAUCUCUUAGAUUUAAUUUAUUUAAUUACUAUCUUUGUUUUUUCUAAAA
rnacentral:rRNA from 1 species